CCUACGGGAGGCAGCAGUGGGGAAUAUUGCACAAUGGGGGAAACCCUGAUGCAGCGACGCCGCGUGAGUGAAGAAGUAAUUUGUUACGUAAAGCUCUAUUAGCAGGGAAGAAAAUGACGGUACCUGAGUAAGAAGCGCCGGCUAACUACGUGCCAGCAGCCGCGGUAAUACGUAGGGGGCAAGCGUUAUCCGGAUUUACUGGGUGUAAAGGGAGCGUAGACGGUGGGCAAAGUCUGGGGCGAAAUGCCGCGGCUUAACUGCGGAACUGCGUUGGAAACUGGCGAACUAGAGUGCGGGCGGGGUAAGCGGAAUUCCUGGUGUAGCGGUGAAAUGCGUAGAUAUUAGGAGGAACACCGGUGGCGAAGGCGGCUUACUGGACCGUAACUGACGUUGAGGCUCGAAGGCGUGGGGAGCAAACAGGAUUAGAUACCCCGGUAGUC
rnacentral:rRNA from 1 species